GAAUUUCACCAAAUCCCCAUAAAUAUGUCUGAUCUCAUUAGAUCUCCGAAGCUGUACACGGUUGAGCUUGAUUAAUACUUGGACGACACGCCUGCCUGGGGAUACCAGGUGCCGUAGGCU
rnacentral:rRNA from 1 species